ACGGGUGCCGGACCUAGAAGGCAUCUGCAUCGAGCAUUUGCCACAGAUGAAGUGGGAUGCCUCAUUUGUCUGAGGGAAGGACGCUAUCUCCUACAAAAGUCAGACUCAAGCUUAUGGGAAUUCAGACGAGCAGAAAGGAGAAAGAAGAAUCUCAGAAACUCAAGAUCUUGAUGACCAAGGUGGUAGAGCUGGGAUUUACCCUAGCAGCACUUGCUCAUGUUUGACAUAAUGCCAUGUUGGAUGAACAGAACAAUAAGUUACGCCAGCUGUGGAGGCUUGGCUGUUCAAGCAUUUCAGGCAUAUUUUCAGCUUUGCUACAAGAGACUUGGUUGCUUGCUGUACAGGGUAAUAUGCAUGCU